GUGCUCCCUUCAGUAGUUUAUAUACUAAAAUUAGAAUGAUGCAGAGAUUAGCACGGACCCUGCCACAAAGAUAGGAUUUAAUUUUGUGAAGCAUUCCAUACAUUU